rnacentral:rRNA from 1 species
UACAGAGGGUGCGAGCGUUAAUCGGAAUUACUGGGCGUAAAGCGCGCGUAGGCGGCUUUGCAAGUCGAGUGUGAAAUCCCCAGGCUUAACCUGGGAACUGCAUUCGAGACUGCAUAGCUAGAGUAUGGGAGAGGGAAGUGGAAUUCCUGGUGUAGCGGUGAAAUGCGCAGAUAUCAGGAGGAACACCGGUGGCGAAGGCGGGUCUCUGGGCCGUAACUGACGCUGAGGAGCGAAAGCGUGGGGAGCGAACAGG